CUGCGGCAGCGAACGUAUCACCCAAGACAACUUUACGGAGUUGACGAUUGACGGAGCGAAGCGACGUCAAAGCGUUCAUUAAAGUCGAGUUGGCUUAGGGAUACGUUCGUUGGGUAGGGGAGCGUUCUGUAAGCCUGUGAAGGUGGCCUGUGAGGGGUGCUGGAGGUAUCAGAAGUGCGAAUGCUGACAUAAGUAACGAUAAAGCGGGUGAAAAGCCCGCUCGCCGGAAGACCAAGGGUUCCUGUCCAACGUUAAUCGGGGCAGGGUGAGUCGACCCCUAAGGCGAGGCCGAAAGGCGUAGUCGAUGGGAAACGGGUUAAUAUUCCCGUACUUGGUGUUACUGCGAAGGGGGGACGGAGAAGGCUAUGUUGGCCGGGCGACGGUUGUCCCGGUUUAAGCGUGUAGGUGUGUGUUCCAGGUAAAUCCGGUUCACUUUAACACUGAGGCGUGACGACGAGGCACUACGGUGCUGAAGCAACAAAUGCCCUGCUUCCAGGAAAAGCCUCUAAGCAUCAGGUAACAUCAAAUCGUACCCUAAACCGACACAGGUGGUCAGGUAGAGAAUACCAAGGCGCUUGAGAGAACUCGGGUGAAGGAACUAGGCAAAAUGGUGCCGUAACUUCGGGAGAAGGCACGCUGACACGUAGGUGAAGUGAUUUACUCAUGGAGCUGAAGUCAGUCGAAGAUACCAGCUGGCUGCAACUGUUUAUUAAAAACACAGCACUGUGCAAACACGAAAGUGGACGUAUACGGUGUGACGCCUGCCCGGUGCCGGAAGGUUAAUUGAUGGGGUCAGCGCAAGCGAAGCUCCUGAUCGAAGCCCCGGUAAACGGCGGCCGUAACUAUAACGGUCCUAAGGUAGCGAAAUUCCUUGUCGGGUAAGUUCCGACCUGCACGAAUGGCGUAAUGAUGGCCAGGCUGUCUCCACCCGAGACUCAGUGAAAUUGAACUCGCUGUGAAGAUGCAGUGUACCCGCGGCAAGACGGAAAGACCCCGUGAACCUUUACUAUAGCUUGACACUGAACAUUGAGCCUUGAUGUGUAGGAUAGGUGGGAGGCUUUGAAGUGUGGACGCCAGUCUGCAUGGAGCCGACCUUGAAAUACCACCCUUUAAUGUUUGAUGUUCUAACGUGGACCCGUGAUCCGGGUUGCGGACAGUGUCUGGUGGGUAGUUUGACUGGGGCGGUCUCCUCCUAAAGAGUAACGGAGGAGCACGAAGGUUGGCUAAUCCUGGUCGGACAUCAGGAGGUUAGUGCAAUGGCAUAAGCCAGCUUGACUGCGAGCGUGACGGCGCGAGCAGGUGCGAAAGCAGGUCAUAGUGAUCCGGUGGUUCUGAAUGGAAGGGCCAUCGCUCAACGGAUAAAAGGUACUCCGGGGAUAACAGGCUGAUACCGCCCAAGAGUUCAUAUCGACGGCGGUGUUUGGCACCUCGAUGUCGGCUCAUCACAUCCUGGGGCUGAAGUAGGUCCCAAGGGUAUGGCUGUUCGCCAUUUAAAGUGGUACGCGAGCUGGGUUUAGAACGUCGUGAGACAGUUCGGUCCCUAUCUGCCGUGGGCGCUGGAGAACUGAGGGGGGCUGCUCCUAGUACGAGAGGACCGGAGUGGACGCAUCACUGGUGUUCGGGUUGUCAUGCCAAUGGCACUGCCCGGUAGCUAAAUGCGGAAGAGAUAAGUGCUGAAAGCAUCUAAGCACGAAACUUGCCCCGAGAUGAGUUCUCCCUGAGACUUUAAGUCUCCUGAAGGAACGUUGAAGACGACGACGUUGAUAGGCCGGGUGUGUAAGCGCAGCGAUGCGUUGAGCUAACCGGUACUAAUGAACCGUGAGGCUUAACCUUACA
rnacentral:rRNA from 1 species